rnacentral:rRNA from 1 species
UUAAGCAUAUCAAUAAGCGGAGGAAAAGAAACCAACAGGGAUUGCCUUAGUAACGGCGAGUGAAGCGGCAAAAGCUCAAAUUUGAAAUCUGGCACCUUCGGUGUCCGAGUUGUAAUUUGAAGAAGGUAACUUUGGAGUUGGCUCUUGUCUAUGUUCCUUGGAACAGGACGUCACAGCGGGUGAGAAUCCCGUGCGAUGAGAUGCCCAAUUCUAUGUAAAGUGCUUUCGAAGAGUCGAGUUGUUUGGGAAUGCAGCUCUAAGUGGGUGGUAAAUUCCAUCUAAAGCUAAAUAUUGGCGAGAGACCGAUAGCGAACAAGUACAGUGAUGGAAAGAUGAAAAGAACUUUGAAAAGAGAGUGAAAAAGUACGUGAAAUUGUUGAAAGGGAAGGGCUUGAGAUCAGACUUGGUAUUUUGCGAUCCUUUCCUUCUUGGUUGGGUUCCUCGCAGCUUACUGGGCCAGCAUCGGUUUGGAUGGUAGGAUAAUGACUAAGGAAUGUGGCUCUACUUCGGUGGAGUGUUAUAGCCUUGGUUGAUACUGCCUGUCUAGACCGAGGACUGCGUCUUUUGACUAGGAUGUUGGCAUAAUGAUCUUAAGCCACCCGU